rnacentral:ncRNA from 20 species
ACGUUAUCACGAAAGGCAGAGGGAUUAGACCCAGUGAAGCUUUGGCAACCUCUCAGAAAUGAGAAAGGUGCUACAUUCUACAAUCUAUUUCGAUAUUUUAUCAAAUAGCUAUUGACAGAUAACAG